rnacentral:rRNA from 1 species
CGAUAUCAAUAAGCGGAGGAAAAGAAAAUAACAAGGAUUCCCUCAGUAACGGCGAGUGAAGCGGGAAGAGCUCAAAUUUAAAAUCUGGCGUAAAAGCCCGAAUUGUAGUCUAAAGAGGCGUUAUCGGACGCGAGUCUGUCGUACAAGUUCCCUGGAAUGGGACAUCACAGAGGGUGAGAAUCCCGUCUGGGCGGUGGACUAGCGGCCAUAUGAGACGUUCUCAAAGAGUCGAGUUGUUUGGGAUUGCAGCUCAAAAUGGGUGGUAAAUUUCAUCUAAGGCUAAAUAAUGGCAAGAGACCGAUAGCAAACAAGUACCGUGAGGGAAAGAUGAAAAGCACCUUGAAAAGGGAGUUAAAAGCGCGUGAAAUUGUUAAAAGGGAAACGAUUGAAGCCAGUAGGGCUGUGUGUGUUCAGCGGUACCCGCGGAGCGAUGUUGUGAUGAGAGCACUUUACUGGGCCUCUAGCGGCAUGCGCAAGUGGACUGCCGUGUAUUCAUGCAUAGUUGGUCAGUCUCGAUUUGAACUGCCGGAAAAGGACUUUGGGAAGGUGGGCAUUCGCUUCGGCGCUUGUCUUUAUAGACCAUUGUAGAUACGGCGGAUUGGAUCGGAAAAGACAGUAGCUACCGGGCUUGGCGGAUCUGCGGUCGUGGACCUGCAAGACUCAAUUGAGGCUUGUGGGGCAUCUGGCUGGGAGAAGCUGGGCAAGACGCUACGGUGAGUACUGACGUA